rnacentral:rRNA from 1 species
GAUGAACGCUAGCGGGAGGCUUAACACAUGCAAGUCGUGGGGCAGCACAGGUAGCAAUACUGGGUGGCGACCGGCGCACGGGUGAGUAACGCGUAUGCAACCUGCCCUGUACAGGGGGAUAGCCCGGAGAAAUUCGGAUUAAUACCCCAUAAAGAUAUUGAGAGGCAUCUUUUAAUAUUUAAAGUUUCGGCGGUACGGGAUGGGCAUGCGUGACAUUAGCUAGUUGGUAGGGUAACGGCCUACCAAGGCUGCGAUGUCUAGGGGUCCUGAGAGGGUGAUCCCCCACACUGGUACUGAGACACGGACCAGACUCCUACGGGAGGCAGCAGUGAGGAAUAUUGGUCAAUGGGCGCAAGCUUGAACCAGCCAUCCCGCGUGCAGGAAGAAGGCGCUAUGCGUCGUAAACUGCUUUUUCAGGGGAAGAAAAUCCUGUACGUGUACGGGACUGACGGUACCCUGUGAAUAAGCAUCGGCUAACUCCGUGCCAGCCGCCGCUGUAACAC